GUGAGGAAUAUUGGUCAAUGGGCGGGAGCCUGAACCAGCCAAGUCGCGUGAAGGAAGAAGGAUCUAUGGUUCGUAAACUUCUUUUGCAGGGGAAUAAAGUGCGGGACGUGUCCUGUUUUGUAUGUACCCUGAGAAUAAGGAUCGGCUAACUCCGUGCCAGCAGCCGCGGUAAUACGGAGGAUCCGAGCGUUAUCCGGAUUUAUUGGGUGUAAAGGGAGCGCAGGUGGUUUGAUAAGUCAGCGGUGAAAGUUUGCAGCUUAGCUGUACACAGGCCGUUGAAACUGUCGGACUUGAGUGUAAAUGAGGUAGGCGGAAUGCGUGGUGUAGCGGUGAAAUGCAUAGAUAUCACGCAGAACUCCGAUUGCGAAGGCAGCUUACUAAGCUACAACUGACACUGAAGCACGAAAGCGUGGGGAUCAAACAGGAUUAGAUACCCGAGUAGUCC
rnacentral:rRNA from 1 species